UAUUUCAUUUUAGGCUGGUUAACUGUCAUUUAGACCAUACAUUUUCUGUUAAAUAAAAUGUAAUUGCUGCUGAGCCUGAGGAUGCGGAUGAGGCUGGGGCUUGCAGCCUGGCUACACGUGAUUCAGAUAUGCUUUCUUUCCUUUAUAUUAUGAUUUAGAUGUGUAUAGAUAGUCUAUGAGUUUUUGCAAUCCACGCAUUUAAAUCAUCAUAUAUGCUUAUGAUUUUAAUGCACCAAAAACCACCCAUACAAUCUUAGCCCUGUAAAUGCGUCAGCAUAUCAAGCUCAUGGACUUGACAUGGAUAUGUUUGAUGUCGCCUAGGUGCGGAACCAGUUGUCCAUUCCAAUGUUACCAAGAUCACCAACCCACCUCAUUCUUUUGACAAAAAAGAAAAUGAAAAGGAAAAACAGGUGGCACUUCUAGCAGUCAUAGAUAUUAUUGUCCUCAGCCCCUAAAGUCUGCAUUUGGAUGUUCUGAUUUCUUUGUGCAUGCAGUUUUUUUCCAUUGAAUUCAAUAUCAGUAAGUUUCUCAAAUGUAGGAUGUUUUGCUAGUAGUGAUUUCUUUGUUCUGAUUCCUUUUACUUUAUACCAAUGUUUUUAUUCUCAAAGUUUAAUUUAUCUAUUUCAUUAUGGCGUUUUCUCAUAGGAUGCAAGCUUUGGUUGAGGACUACAUUUUCAGUGGAGGCAUUUUCUCUACGUCGGUAUUUCAGUAUACUAAUGAGGAAAAAAGCUCUCAAGAUUAAGCGAAUGGAGAUGGAACAGAAAGAUUGCUCCCUGAAGGUAGAUAAACUACUAGAAAGGCAUAGUUGGAUUGUAGCUGACAAAUAAUUAUUUGGAAAAAGUGGGACAGAUUAUGACUUCUCAUCUCGUGAUCCUCGUAAAUCAAGGGAGGAGCUUGAGAAACUUCAAGUUGAACAAUCCGUCCUUGAGAAGAGGGUCAACAAAAAAGUUAUGGCAAUAUUCGAGAAAGCUGAAGAUGAAUACAAUGACUUAUUAUCCAACAAAAACAUCAUUGAGUCAAAAAUCAAGAAGGUGAUUGAAGAGCUUGAUGAAAAGAAGAAGGAAACACUAAAAGUUACUUGGGUUAAAGUGAACAAGUGAGUCAACACUUCUCUGCUCUCAUGUUCCAGUUCAUAUUUUGUGCUUUCUAGUUGAAAAUCAAGAAUGCCAUUUACUUUUGUUGGUAUAUUUCAGUGAAAGAAAUUUACUUU